UACGUAGGGUGCAAGCGUUAAUCGGAAUUACUGGGCGUAAAGCGCACGUAGGCGGCUUUCUAAGUCCGGGGUGAAAUCCUGGAGCUCAACUCCAGAACUGCCUUCGAUACUGGAGAGCUUGAGUCCGGGAGAGGUGAGUGGAACUGCGAGUGUAGAGGUGAAAUUCGUAGAUAUUCGCAAGAACACCAGUGGCGAAGGCGGCUCACUGGCCCGGUACUGACGCUGAGGUGCGAAAGCGUGGGGAGCAAACAGG
rnacentral:rRNA from 1 species